CUUGCCGCCGGCGUCUCCUCCUCAGGCCGUCCACCUCCUCCAAUCCGCAGCCACCUGCCCCUUCUCCUCCUCCUCUUUUUCUAGGGCCGAGGCUGCGCCGUCCAACGAGCAGGCCCCUGCAGCAGUGACGGAGCAGCUCGGUGGUGCUAGUGCCGAACCGCGUCCUCUGACGGGCUCGACGUCGUCGGACGGAGGAGGUCGGGGAAGGAGAAGAGAGAGCGACGGGCCAGAUUACGGCGCACGUGCCUAGCUAAAAGUGGAUCCGCUGAAUGUUUUCACACAGCAAAUAGCUAAUCAAUUCAAAUGUCACCCAAUCAAUCUUGAUAACCCUCUCGUAAGUUAACCAGGCAUUGGUUGGUGACGAAGCACUUCGGGAUUUGGAUGUGGGAGGCCGUUGCUCUGCAUCACCUUCAUCCCGAAGCAGUGAGGAUGGGAAGAGUUUGAUGCGUGAACAGAGGGUGCUGCAAGUAAAUUAAAGAUGCCAAGCACAACAUGGCUUGACUGAAUUCUGUAGUACCUUCUUCAAACAUGCACACUAAGUAGUAUGUUUCUGUGAUCCAGCCUCUUCAUAAAUUUAUAGAUGGAAGAUGGUACAAUGAGCUUCUCUAGAGGUCAUGAGUUCAAAGUUAUCAUCACCAGCUUCUCUACAUCCCAACAAAUCAAACUUGUGUAAAAGAGAGGAGUUUUACCUUCAUUGUCAUCUUCUCCAAAAGAAUGAACAGCUAAAGUCAUCACUACCAGCUUCAAAAUAUUUUUGGUUAAUGUUACAA